GUUGAACGCUGGCGGCAGGCCUAACACAUGCAAGUCGAGCGGAGCGGCGGACGGGCGGGUAAUGCCUGGGAAUCUGCCUGGUAGUGGGGGAUAACGUCCGGAAACGGGCGCUAAUAACGCAUACGAUCUGAUGAGCCUAGGUCGGAUUAGCUAGUUGGUGGGGUAAAGGCCUACCAAGGCGACGAUCCGUAACUGGGCUGAGAGGAUGAUCAGUCACACUGGAACUGAGACACGGUCCAGACUCCUACGGGAGGCAGCAGUGGGGAAUAUUGGACAAUGGGCGAAAGCCUGAUACAGCCAUGCCGCGUGUGUGAAGAAGGUCUUAGGAUUGUAAAGCACUUUAAGUUGGGAGGCGUUACCAACAGAAGAAGCACCGGCUAACUUCGUGCCAGCAGCCGCGGUAAUAC
rnacentral:rRNA from 1 species